ACGCAAGGACGACCUUGCCCCUCACCCACCAUCAUCCGGGGACGACCCCC
rnacentral:ncRNA from 1 species